CAUCAGCUAUUUAGAGCACCACAAUGGCCCCUUAGAGUGGGCCAGGCAACAACUGUUACCCCAUCUGAAAGAUGGGGAAACAGGCUCCUGGAGAAGAAGUGAUUAGCCCCUGGUUGCAUAAGUAGCUAGUAAGUGGCAGAAUUAGGACAGGAAUUCAGUUCUCCAGGCCCGAAGCCCCCAGCCUUGAGGAGACGGGCCCAGUCGGAGAUGGAUUAUUACUUGGCAGAAUUAAACUUGGGCUGCUCCAGCAGAAAGGGGCCCGGGACAUAUCUGAAGGCAGAGACCAAAAUGCAGCUGCUUCAAGGACACAAAUUGUAGAGUUUUAUGUAUUGACAUGAUCCUCCUCACCUUCCUGCUCAUCAGAAAUGCUGCAGCCUUAAAACUCAACUGGAGCAGCCUUAAAACUCAUGUACUGAAAAUAGCAGAGCUGCUUAUCUGGGUUCCUUCGUGUCUGGGUUCCUGCGUGACUUUGAGGAGCAGAGCAUCCUUCCUGGAAGGCCACUUGAACAAAUUUGUAAAAAUUCCUCUUGACAAUAAGGAGAAAAUCAAAGAUGUCUCCAUGGCAAGAACAUAGUUAAGAUGUUGAAACCACUGUUCCACAUGCGCAGUUGAUCAAGGUUUGACGGCUACAUGACCUUCCUGGGGCUGUGAUAAUGGGCAGUCUGCCAUCUUGACCCCACAGCGCAGACGUGAACAAAGAAAACAGACGUGCAGCGGGAUUUUCCUUUGGGAACUCUCCUUCACCCAUUCUCAAGUCUAUGUGGUUCUGAGGGAUCCAUCUUAACCUCUGGCUUCAAGGAAACACAAGCAACCCCAGGCUACCAUUGAGAUCCAGGUGUGGAACUUUUGUUGCAACCACGGAGAAAGAAAUACAGCCAUUCCACUGAGACUGCAAAACUGGGAGAAGGUUAGCCUAGAGCACUGAAAGCUUCAGUUUGAGAAUGAAGACAAGCAGAGUUAAGAAAUGGAAAAAAUGAAACUGAGUCCUAAUAACAUUGUUUGGGCUCUUGGAUCCAGCCAUGCCUGAAGGCAAAGAUUCAUUUCCUGGAAUUUUCAGCUUCCUGAGCCAAUCAAUUCUCAACUCCUUCCUCAUUAUUUGUUUAUUAGUCUUACUUUGAUUUGAAUUGGAUUUCUAUUGUCUGCUAUCAAAAGAUUCCCGACCCACGUAAGAGAGAUGAACAAAAUGAAAAAACUAUUUUUAAAAUUGGAAGCUAUAUCCUAUACUACAUAUGUUAGAAGAAAAAGUGAAAAUUUGGCCUGAAAACUCCAGUUUGAAGAAGAAAGUGACAUGAUUCAAUUUUCAAUUUUUAAUGAUCCCUCUGGCAGCCGGAUGGAACAUGAUCAGGAUAGAAGGUAGGAGCAGGAACAGGGAGAAUGGUAGAAAGUUAUUGCAAUAGUCUGUCAGGUCCAGGCAGAAGAUGCCUGUGCUUUGGUCCAGGGUAGUGGGAGUGAAGGCAGAGAGAGAGGCGGGACAGAUUUGAGAUAUUCUGAGAGUUAACAGCACUUAGACAUGGGGAAUAAAAGUCAGGCACAAAUCAAUAAUAGCUCCUCCAUUUGGGGCUUAAUGGAUUGCUUUAAAAAUUUUUUACCUUUAUUUUAUUUUUCCUGGGUGAUUUUAUUGGCUGAUUCUUUAAAAAAUAUAUUGUGCCUAUUUUUAAAGAGUCAACACUUUCACAUGAUACAAAAUAAAAAUAUAAAAGGUAUACGACGAGUACAGUGAAAAUUCUCCCUCCCCCAAGCACUGGGUCCUCUCCUUGGAAGCAACCCAAAAGAUGAAUUUAAUGUACAUCGUUCAAGGGAUGUAUUAUACAUAUACAAGCAAAUGUAUACAUGCACACAUUUAUAUGGAUCACACACGUAUGGAAUAUAGAUAUCGUUCCCCUUUUUGUACAAAUAAUAUUAGACAUAUUUUCCUGCACCUUGAUUUUUCUGUUUAGGAAUACAUCUUAAAGACUGUUCCUUUCUUAUUUAUCUAUUGCUGCACAACAAACUACCCCAAAACUUAGUGGUUUGCAACAACAACAUUUCUAACUCGGUUUCUGUAGGUCAGGAACCUGGGCACUAACCUGGGUCCUCUGCUCAGGGCUUCUCACGGGUUUGGGGUCAUCUCAAGGCUAAACUGGGGUCAGAGGCCACGCUCACUCAUGAGGUUGUUGGCAGGAUUCUGUUCCUUGGGAGCUGUUGGACCCAGUGCUUCGUUCCUCGCAGUUCUGGCCACAUGGGCCUCUCUAAUACGGCAGCUUACGUCUUCAUGAUGUAAGCAUGCUAGGAAGGAAGAGAGUGCAAAUAAGUCGGAAGUCCCAGGCUUUUAGAGCCUAAUCUUGGAAGUGACAGCCACCACUUCUCCUGUGUUCUAGUUGUUAGAAGAAGACGUUAGGUCCCGCUGUCCCCCAUUCCCUGCUCCCAUCACAACACAAGUGUGAACACAUUCACACACACAAGGCAGGCAUUACACAAGGUGUAAAGACCAGGAGGCAGGGAUCACUGGGCGCUAUGUCAUAAGCUGCCAACCACAGUUAUCCAGCAGUCCAUGAUAAAAAGCAUGCGUGGUCUGCUCCAGCAUUGGAUGGGCCCUUGUCCCUGUAACCAGGGCUCUACUGAUAGGUUGACGAGUUAAUUGUCUUUCACCCUCACU